GAUGAACGCUGGCGGCGUGCCUAAUACAUGAAAGUCGAGCGAACAGACGAGGAGCUUGCUCCUCUGACGUUAGCGGCGGACGGGUGAGUAACACGUGGAUAACCUACCUAUAAGACUGGGAUAACUUCGGGGAACCGGAGCUAAUACCGGAUAAUAUAUUGAACCGCAUGGUUCAAUAGUGAAAGACGGUUUUGCUGUCACUUAUAGAUGGAUCCGCGCCGCAUUAGCUAGUUGGUAAGGUAACGGCCUACCAAGGCAACGAUGCGUAGCCGACCUGAGAGGGUGAUCGGCCACACUGGAACUGAGACACGGUCCAGACUCCUACGGGAGGCAGCAGUAGGGAAUCUUCCGCAAUGGGCGAAAGCUUGACGGAGCAACGCCGCGUGAGUGAUGAAGGUCUUCGGAUCGUAAAACUCUGUUAUUAGGGAAGAACAAAUGUGUAAGUAACUAUGCACGUCUUGACGGUACCUAAUCAGAAAGCCACGGCUAACUACGUG
rnacentral:rRNA from 1 species